rnacentral:rRNA from 1 species
CAAAGAUUAAGCCAUGCAUGUGACACUGGCAGAUC